AUUAAGAAAAACAAAACCAAAAAAUUUCACAAUCACUUUGCUCAUCUUCCAGAAAGAUGAGGAACGGACAGCCAUCAGGGCAUCGCGGUGAGGCGCUUGUGAUUUGACGGCCUCCUGGGGUUGUCACGAACUGUCACAGAUCUGUACUGUUCUCAACUUUGGCGAGAUGAGCUUCUUUGAAGUGGGUAGUGGUUAAGGCAGAGGUUCAUAACUGGUCAAAAUGCUGAGAACAAAUAACCCUGAGCAUUUGGCAUUGGAUCUGUAUCAACCUUCCGCCACCGGAGACGCUAGGAACUUUAUGGAAAUGGCGGGCAGAAAGAACAAGAGAACCUGUGGAUGGAAAAGAGAGCUGUGAAUGGCUGACUUCUGGAGAUGACCCGGCUGUUGCACAGGUCAGCUCACAGCAGCUGUGGUUAUCCACACACCAUCAAGCCAGUCAAAAUUUCAGUAUGGACGAGGAAGGACCCCAAGGAGCUGUCUGUUGAUGGCUGGCCGUUCUCCUUUGUGGAUGCGGAUGCUGAUCUCCAAGAACUCCGUCCAAGUCUAGAGCCUCUGAACGGUGUAAGUCGCUGGCAGGUAGAGCAUGCCCCGAGCAGUCAGCCGCUGCGGGCUGUGCUUUCAUGUCCAGAGCUGCACUGUUGCAUAACGGCAUUAGCGAACCGGACCGAUUCAACUGCGCCAAACUCUGAUAUUUCAGCUAAAAUCAUUUUACAACAUCUUAUUAAGGGAGAAGUAAGUCAUACAAACUGCCAGUCAUUGUAAUAACAUCAGAUUCGAUGUUUUUCCUCCAAAUAGCAAGUCCGAGAAUAAGGAGAAUUUACAGCUUUACAACAGAUAGCAGUUCUAAAGUUGCAACGUCUGGUUCUGACUAAACAGGCUGAGCUUUGAAGGACAUAAGACAUUUUUACUGUUUGAUUUUAAUAAAAAUGCAGCUCGCUCUUGGAGUGUCCUAGGUUUUACAACCCAAAAAUGAAAUGAACGUGUGUCAUUUCUCAUAUGUGUGUGCCAUUAAACGUCCCAGUUUCUAUCGUGUUGCUUACUGAAGGAAACAGGAGCAUGGUGAAGUGAAGGCAGCCUGCUCCCCCCAGCUCCGGGGAGGCAGCCCUCCUGUGAGCUACACAAAGGCAAGGGCCAGCAGCAGCAGCAGGCCAGGGGCCAGUGGGCCAGGUCUGUAGGCUAAACUCAGAGGUAAGUUUAAUACACCAGAAUUGCUGAUGUCUCAGCUAAGGCCUGUUGGUUGCUAUGCCUCCCUCUUCUAUGUAGUUCUUGUUUUAAAAUUUUUAAUUUCCCAAGCUGGAAAUGGUGUUACAUGCUUUUAAUCCCAGCGCUUGGAGGCCAAAGCAGAAGUAUUUAAAGUCUGAGAUCAUUCUGGGUUCUAUAAUGAGAUCUUGUCUCAAAAAUGUUGUUAUUCAAUUUUCAUACUCUAAUUUUAAAAUUGCACCUUUUGUAAGUAACAAUAAAACCUUUUUUUUUAAAAAAAGGAAUUAAAAAAUAAUUAUGGGCUGGCGAGAUGACCCAGUGGUUAAGAGCAUUGGCUGGUUCUUCAGGAUCUGGGUUUGAUUCACAGAGACCAUACAUGGCUCACACUGUAUUUAGGAGAUACAGUGUCCUCUUCUGGCCUCCUUGGGCACCAGACAUCACCAGGCGUGCCACUGGUGCACAGAUAUUCACACAGGCCAAGCACAUGUGUGUGAUGUGUGGAGGUCAGAGGACAACUUGAGGGAGCUGAUUCUCUCCUUCCGUUAUGUGGGUCUCGGGGGCCCAAUCCAGCCAUCAGCAAGAACUUUUAUCUGCGGAGCCACCUCACUGACCCCCACCUACUGUCUUCUUGAGACAAGUGCAAUAGUGGAUUUCACAUCUGACAAUGGCUAAACGAUGACAACUGGCCUUGGGGUCUAGAAAUCACAGCUGUGCCUAUGGGCCAACGGCUGUGUGAGCCUCAAGCAAUCUCAGGCAAACAGCAUUGAACAGAGGCUCUAUAGGUAGAGCAGAAGGCUGUGAACAGUUGAGGGAGUCGGGUAAAGAAGGCCUGGGAUAAGAAAAAGACCACCCGACCAUGGUGCUGUCAAAAGGAUGAAGUCUAUGGUGUGCUAAUUGUAUCCUGAGUUUUAAGAACAGAAGGAAAAUCUAGAGCAUUCUGGGUGACAUCAAUGCUAUGGCUGGAAGCUUAGGUUCAUGACUCCUGGAGCCCCCUUCCCCAAAGCCUGCUCCUGCUCCCCUCUCCUGCCGACACACCAGCCUGUAGCACUAGCGAAUGAGGCCUUUGUCAAAAUUCCGCUGGUUUCUAGGCACAAGGAGUCAACAUGGACGUCCCGAGUCACUCUCCUGUGGACUCUUGAUACUUCUUUUCUCCCUCUGCUUUCUCUUCAUUCUUCUCACGGGAAGGGGAGAUUUCUAUCCCACGUUUGUGUGUAUCUGUGCGUCUGUAUGCAUGUUAACGCACAUGGGGCUCUGUGCACAUGGGUAACAGUUUGACGCUGGGCAUCCCUCUUCAUCAGCUUAUGCUUUUAUUUCCCGAGGUAGGGUCUCCUGGUGAACUUGGAGCUGCGUCUCUGCCUCAGGAAUGAGUGCUGGGGCUUAGCUGGAUUACAGAGCUAGCACAACAUGCCGACUCGGCCUGGAUUUGGGGGAUCUGAACCCCAGUCUCUACGCUCACACACUGAGUCACCUCCCCACCAUCUUCCAUUAAGUUUUAUACCCUGACAAACCCCCUGAGACAAAAGGAAGGAACACCUGUCAAUCACCUUCCUUGAUGUAUCUGUUCUCUUCUUAAGUCUAAGGACAAAAUUCUAUACUCUGGAUGGCAAGAGCAAGGGUCUGGUCGGUUUCCACUUAGAUACCCUGUGGAUGUUCACAAAGAAUGUCCAUUGUACCUUUAAGGAUCCUGAAACUGAUUACAAAAUGGGACCAGCGAUAGCGAGGGAACAUUUCCGGAAAACAACAUAAAGCUAAUAAAAACUGGCGUUGUUUGCUGUUGUGUCUAAACACAACCACACUUCAAAUAACCCCCGAGGAACAUUUCCCACCGGAGGAGGCAGGAUGUGUGUGGAGAUGGGAUCUUAUAAAAGCACCAGAGAAAGGCGGAAACAGAGAUCAUCAUUUAAGAUGUGAAAUGACACAAACCGCUCACGGAGGACCUUAGCUUCCUGCCACUUUGGAGGCUCCUGGAUUUGCCAGAGAAAACGGUAACAGUUUUCUGCUUUAACUGGGCUUGCCUCAGAGACUUCUGCCCAUCCUUUUAUACCCCAGACAAUCAAACUAAGUGAAGUUAGUCUGGGCUGCUUUUGAGGAGGUAGGGAUGGGACACGGGUAAAAUGAUUGCUGGAGAGCUGGCUCGGUCAUUUUAAGAUGUUGACUGCGCAGAUGUUAGGACCUGAGUUUGAUUCUUAGAACCCACAUAAGAAAGUGGAUACAAUGGCUCAUGUGUGUAACCCAAGUGCUGAGGAUGUGGAAGCAGGCAGAUCCUCAAGGCUUACUAGCCAAUCAGUCUAGCUUACUCUGCAAGCUCCAGGCUAGGGAGCUCAAAAUCAAGGUGCUGGCACCUGAGGAAUGACACCUGAGGCUGGCCUCUAGCCUUCAUGGGUAUGUGUAAUCAUGUGUGUACACACACGCAGGUGCACACACAUACACACACACGUAGACCACCAACACCAUAAACAACGACAAAAUGAAUGGUAUGUCAAAAACUUCUGGCGGACACUGACUGCCACACGACCAGUGGUAGAGAAGAGGAGGCCCAUGGGUAUUAUCUCAUGUUAGACUUCUGUGCCUGAGCUCCCUUGCUUGGUUUAAAUCCCAGCUCUGCUUCUUCCUUGCUGUAUGACCGUGGCAAGUUCUCUGACCCCCUAUAUGUCUGUUUUAUUUGUAAACUGAGGCUAUUCCCAGAGUGUUCUAGGAUUUUAUACAGAAAAAGCCAUAAGUAUGUUUCCUGGCAUAGAUUUGUUCUAGACAAGUUCUGUUCAAUAAAA